AGGAAUUAUAACUUAAUAGGUAGUCUAAUCAUCAAGAAUUGAUUAGAUCUGAUUUAAUUACUACAGGUAAUCACCUAUAAGUAAAGUCCUAAAAAACAUGUCUUGCCUAAGAGGAAAUAAAUCAGAUGCAAGCAUCAGCUCAUCCUAGUCACUGGUAGGCAGCCAGCAAGAGUUAAUAAAUGCCAGGAUGAGCAUGUAAGUAUAAACUGGUAAUGGGGAGGCAGGCAAAUGAAAGAGCAAGGGCCGCAACCUGAAGACUUUUUUUUAACCUCAUAACUUUGCCUAGAAUCAGCUCAAUUGCCAGGCUCUAGAUCUGUUCUCCACCUGGGACAAAGGUGAAAAGCUUUACUCUCUGAGGGCAACAUGCUUGUUUGGGAAAGAACUUGAAGUAGUCUACUACACAGGCUUAAUGGGAACCUUUUGCAGUCUGGUUGAAUCUUCCAAGUACAACGAUCUUUGUUCAGAUGUAUCUUCUCUCUUCCAGUUUCAGCCCACAUAUGUUUAAAAUAAAAUACAUGCCUCAUGGUUGCUGGUGAUAAAA
rnacentral:lncRNA from 1 species